GACGAACGCUGGCGGCGUGCCUAAUACAUGCAAGUUGAGCGAUGAAGAUUGGUGCUUGCACCAAUUUGAAGAGCAGCGAACGGGUGAGUAACGCGUGGGGAAUCUGCCUUUGAGCGGGGGACAACAUUUGGAAACGAAUGCUAAUACCGCAUAAUAACUUUAAACAUAAGUUUUAAGUUUGAAAGAUGCAAUUGCAUCACUCAAAGAUGAUCCCGCGUUGUAUUAGCUAGUUGGUGAGGUAAAGGCUCACCAAGGCGAUGAUACAUAGCCGACCUGAGAGGGUGAUCCGCCACAUUGGGACUGAGACACGGCCCAAACCCCUACGGGAGGCAGCAGUAGGGAAACUUCGGCAAUGGACGAAAGGCUGACCGAGCAACGCCGCGUGAGUGAAGAAGGUUUUCGGAUCGUAAAACUCUGUUGGUAGAGAAGAACGUUGGUGAGAGUGGAAAGCUCAUCAAGUGACGGUAACUACCCAGAAAGGGACGGCUAACUACGUG
rnacentral:rRNA from 1 species